rnacentral:rRNA from 1 species
UACAGAGGGGGCAAGCGUUGUUCGGAAUUACUGGGCGUAAAGGGCGCGUAGGCGGCCUGUUAAGUCGAACGUGAAAUCCCCAGGCUUAACCUGGGAACUGCAUUCGAGACUGCAUUGCUAGAGUAUGGGAGAGGGAAGUGGAAUUUCCGGUGUAGCGGUGAAAUGCGUAGAUAUCGGAAGGAACAUCAGUGGCGAAAGCGACUUCCUGGACCAAUACUGACGCUCAUGUGCGAAAGCGUGGGGAGCAAACAGG